UUCUCUCUCCUCAUUGCCGACCAGCUCCCUCCUCUCUCUAACUCAUUUGCAACAAAAUUUCUGCUCACUAAUCUCACUCAAAACCACCCCAAAUCAUCUCCAAAUUUAACCAAACUUGCACCACACCUAGCUUGACACUUGAGGAUCAUCUUGAGCUGCAAACAAGGGCUGGAAAUCACGGUUUUUCUGGGGUAGUAGAGGGCCGAAAAUUCUGCUGAACAUCAACCCAAAGUAAGUGAUGAUCCACUCUUGAAAACUUGAAGUUUGGAAGCUAUCUUACCUUGUUAAGUUCAUGCAUGCAUUUGGUUAGCUUGUGUAUGGUGUAAAAAUGUGAUUGUGGGCUCUUUGAAUUCCCACACUUGGGUUGUUGUUGCUGAUUUGAUGAGUGAUGGUGAUUAUAUUGUUGGUUUAGUGGUUAUAAUGAUGCAUUAGUGGUGGGUAAUUAGUAGAAACUUCAUUGGGUGUAAGAAGCAAAAACUUCCGAUUUUGCCCCUGCCAUGUUCGGCCAUUUUAAGGCCAUUUUUUAAUGAACUAAUGGCUUGAAUUGAAUGCUUGUAUGAUGUAUUAGAGGUGUGGAAAAUUUCAUUGAAAAAUAAUGAGGUUUGAAUGGGCAAAUGAAUUUUUUUUUAGAAACCAGCAAAUCUGGAAACUGAUUCGCGUAUGACUCUGACCAGCAGUAGUAUUUUGGCUAUAACUCUGUCCUCGGAUGUCGAAAUCAUGUGCCGUCGGUGGCGUUUGAAACUAGACAUUCCUAGCUUUAAUUUGGUAUAUAAUUCACGUUCUGAUUCUUUGUGAGCAAGCCGAACCAAAUGUUUUAAGUUCGCUGUCCUGUUGCUCUGUUCAUCUGGAAUGAAGUGUUCAGGCAGCAACUUGAUACCCGAUUUUGAACCAGAUGGGUGCCGAAUUUGGAAACGAUUUCUUCUGCAAUAUUUUAGCCCUAUGAAUUUAUUUUCCAACGGCGUAAGCCAUGCUCAAUUCCGAGUUAAAUUGACUGAGUUGUGACUAAAACAAGUGGACUGCCCUGUUUUGGAAAAACCCUAAUAUUUGGACUGGUUUGGAACAAGAUCUUGGAGUGAACUUGUUAAUUGAUGUUCUUGAUACUAAACACUUACCAAAGGUAUUAUGGAUGGUUCUUAGGCCUUUAUUUAACAAACGAACCAUGAUUGGAUAGUUUGCUUGAUUAAACGUUUUGAAUUGGGUAAUGAAGGUCUAAAGGCAGAUUGCCUUAUAAAUUUUCCCGAACUUUGAUUGACUCAUUAGCUACCUUCCCGAGGGUAUUUUUCCCUGAAUUUUGACAGAGAGAUACCUUCCAUAUAGUAUUGAAAUACUGCCAAUUUUGGUAUCAAUCCAAGUCCAUUUCGAUACCUAAUUAAAUUACUAAAGUUGGAGGUUCAAAUCUGGAAAAUUCUUCUCCAGUCUUGAAUUUCCCCAACUUCGGGCUACCGUAUCUCGGUACUCGAAACUCCGAUUCUUGAUCCGCUUGUUUUGUUAUAAACCUCACUUGUAACACUAAUUGAGAUGCAAAUUUCAGAGGCCGGUUUGCGACGUGUGAAUCGUGCCGAAUUUCCAAAGUUGGCCGAAAUCCAACUUAAUUCUGCCAUGUAAACCAAUCCUGCACCUUCAAGCUCAUUUUUGCCCACUUUUCACUUCGAUUCAUGGAAAAGUGUCUUCUAGGAACUUAUAGUACUCUCUAAGAGGUUUCCAACGGUAUAAAGUUUUCCAAUUCUCGACUUGUACCGAGUGAGUUACGAUUUUUCAAAGAUUUAGGAUAAAACUGAAAUUUCUCAAUUUUCAAGGCAAAGGAGUUUUUCCAAAACUCUUAAUUCUCUUAGUAUUAUUCAAACGUUUUGCCCUCGAUUUUCAUGAUAAAAACUCAAAUAAUAUUGUACAUAAUAAAAGGCAAGUUGAACCUCGAUUUACGUGUAAUUGAGGUCCCUGUUUGCAAAAUAAUUAGUACAAUCUUCUUGAUAAGUGGGUUAAUUGUAUGAUUAUCCGCUAUUAAAUUGCCAGGCGCACAAGGAGACCUUCAAGAGGAUCUCACCGUGGACACUUGAACUCCCAGAAAUAUAUUUCUUAUCGAAUUGCUCGGUGAGUGUCAGGUGUAUGAAUUUGAUACUUGCUUAUUUGUGGUAAUUGUUGGAAGUUUUAAAAAUAAGGGCGGGUGCGUACUUUACCGCACUCGUUCUAAUUUCAAAUGAAUGAAUGAAAUGUAUUGAAUGAAUGAAUGAAAUGCAAUGUUAUGUCAUGAAUGCUUAUGUCGCUGGAGUGAACCUCCUCGACUUUCAAAUGAAUGGGGGACGCCCAAACUCAUAGGCCGUCCUUAGACUCGAGCCAGCAAUGGGCUUGGUCGGGGAUUUGGGCGAGCCAUGAGAUAUAUAUAAGCUCGACCUAAUAAGAGGUCUUGCUUGGCAUACUCGUAGAGUAUCGCCCAAUAAUAGACUUGUGGGCCCUUGAGGUGUACGGUGGACGGAGGGAAGUAAGUGGUGAUCUACGGAAAUGGAAAUACCGACCCAGUUGACAGGAGGGUCAAUGCGGGAAGGUAUACGAAUGACAUCGGUAGAUCAAGUGGAACUUAGCUCCUGAGAGCUACUAUAUCCUUGAAUUGUUUCUGAUUACUUUUCCUGUUUGAAUGAUUGAUUAUUGAAAAGACAUGGUUUUAUUUAUUAAAUUGGGAUUGUUAUUUGACAAAGUGCUUGCAUGUGUGUUCUUGGCCUCACGAGCGUUUAGCUCACCCUAUAGUUUUGUUUUCCUUAACAGGACCGACUCUUGGAGAAAUAUGGAGAAACCAUCCGUUGUAAUUUUGUUAAGACUCCUGUUAUAUAUUUUGACUAGACCCUGGUUUGGGUUGUACUUUUGGAAAUUGUAAACUUGAAAAGUUUGGGCCCUGAUGUGUACUUUGAAUUUAAGUCGUUUCAUGAUUAC
rnacentral:lncRNA from 1 species